ACUCACGUGUCCAGCAGAUCGAUUUCCCUUUGUGGACGUAGCCAUGUUGGAUGGUAGUUCUUGCUGAUUCUCCAUGCUACACUGUCUUUCCUUUGAUUUGAAGUCUGGAGGCAUCAGAGGAACCAGCUCAUUUCUACAUCUUCUUGGCCAUAAGCAUGCAUGCUUAAAAGCCUAGGGGACACUACAUGGGACAUGAUUUCAAGGGGUGUGAAUCUCCCUGGCA